UAGGAGCAACCCGAAAAUCCUGUAAAGAGUAGGGG
rfam:Bacteroidetes bacterium GWF2_35_48 gwf2_scaffold_923, whole genome shotgun sequence.